UUCGUGUUCUCCUUUGGCAAUAUCCUUAGACCUUUAAUUUGUAGUAUUAGACCAAGUAAACGCCUCGCUGCCGCAGGUAGUAGACCCAUGUGUCUGGUUCCCUCAGCUAUUCUCCGACACUAGCGCCAAACUACACACACCUCCUCGCCUCUUCUCGAAUCCUAGGCCAACCCGGCGGCUCCUCCCAAAGCUCCUCUCUCAGGGCCCUAGCGGGAGUUUCUCCUUUUCUAGCCGACUUUUCCCUCUGGUGGAUUUCCUGUCGUUUCAACCAGACGUUUGCAGGGAUUUCGUUCUGAAACGGCCCCAGAAGUCGAAUAGAGGGGGGAUAUUUUCUGUCUUCCAGAACAUACUUACUUUCUUUUCGAUGUUCCUAAGCCACUGCAUCCUGCUUCCUCAGGAACCUGGUUCUCUUUUUCAGGAUCUUUAGGAGACAGCCUGAAGAAUUCUCCAAUGCCUUUUUGCCACUUUGGAGUUGGGCGCACACAAACUGGAUUCCCUCCUGCAUACUUAUUUUCAGCUAUAAAACAGAAACAAUUAAAUAAAAUUAAAUGUAA